UUCUUUUUUUUUUAAGAUUUAUUUAUUAUAUAUAUGUAAGUACACUGUAGCUGACUUCAGACACCACAGAAGAAGCAUCAGAUCUCAUUACAGAUGGUUGUGAGCCACCAUGUGGUUGCUGGGAUUUGAACUCAGAACCUUCAGAAGAGCAGUCAGUGCUUUUAACCACUGAGCCAUCUCUCCAGCCCCCAGAUUUUAUUUUUCUUGAUUCAAAAUAUAUUUGUAACACUUAAACUUCUAACCAUAGUUUUGGGGUUUAGACAGAGAGAAUUGAUAACUAAGCUCAAUUUACAGGACUGAAUUUGAACAUAUAGGUACUACACCAUUCCAAGUAGGAUUCUAAAAUAUUCUGCUUGCCUAUAAGAUCAGAUCUAGGCAAUUUCAAUCACAGGUAUAACUACCAUGUUUAAUAAUGUUCCUGUUGGGAUAAUUUUCUUAUAGUCGAAAUAACAGCCACAUUAGAAUGCACCUAACUUAUAAAUUGAAAGGUUCUCAGAAACAGACAUGCCCAACUUUAGAGGGCACCAUACUCACUGUAGUCUAUAUGAAUAGCAUCCCUGAGGUAUUGCCAAUUUACCAAUUGCCAAUGUCUUUGAAUGGCUUUGUGCACCAGUGAAGACCAGCAAGUCAGCGUGUGACUGCAUUGCUUCAAUUCCUGUCCAUUGUAUUUAGAGCUGCUUUGGCUUGCCCUCUUGCAGUUUCUUCUCUAAAAGAUGGUGUAAAAGGUAGAGGAUUUCCCACAAUUUUGUUUUGAGACAUGGUCUCUCUCUGUAGUCCUGGCUAUUCUAAACUUGUUAUGUAGACCAGGCUGGCCUUGAACUCACUGCCUCCUUCUGCCUCCGGAGUGCUGAGAUUAAAGAGAGGAGCCACCAUGCCUUGCCCCCACUUUUUUUAAAAGACAAGAUUAGUAUUGUUUUGACUCUUUUAAGUUAUAAAUGGUUACAUUCUAACUAAACCAUAGUGUGAAUUUAGGUCUAUUGAUUUCCCAGUCCUCACUUAGGAACAGGGAGUGUGUCAGGGUCUCAUGUAUUCUGUAGCCUCAAAUUCACUCUGUAGCCAAAAUGACUUUUGAACUUAUGAUCUUCCUACCUCCAUCUUGAGUGCGUUGGAAUUAUAGGCAUGUGUAUCAUAUUGGGUUUAUGUGGGUGCUGGACAUUAGACCCAGACCCAGGGCUUUAAGAGGACAAGCAUUCUGCAUCCCCAACCUACUAUUUCCAUCAAAUUUAUUAUCUAUUAAUUUUGGGGGUGUUUAUUGGGGUUUCUCCUCUACAUUUAGAAUCUUUUAAUGUGAUAGCUAUUCUGUGGCACUCUGUGUGUUUUGUUUGUUUUUCUUCUUCGUUUUUUUCUGAGACAGGGUUUCUCUAUGUAGCUAGAACUCAUUCUGUAGACCAGGCUGGCCUCGAACUCAGAAAUCCGCCUGCCUCUGCCUCCCGAGUGUUGGGAUUAAAGGUGUGCACCACUGCUGCCCUGCCUGGCACUGUGUUUUAUUUGUAUUUCCUCAUUGUAGAGUUGUUGGGACCAAAAUCAUCUGCCAUUGUUUGUCUUGUUUUGUCUUCCACCUUCGGCAUAUUUUAGGCGCUUCCAUUAUGUUUUUCCAGAUAUGAAAUUGAGCCUGGCAAUAUCCAGAAGAUUUGAGCUACAUAGGCCUUAUGGUACAGUCCUGCAAUCCUAGCUAUUAAGGGGAGGCUAAGACAAGAGACCUGCUGUUUACAUAGACUCUUUCUCUCUGUUUGUUUUGUUAUGUUUUGUUUGUUUGUUUGUUUCCCGAGACAGGGUUUCUCUGUAUAGCUCUGGCUGUCCUGGAACUCACUCUGUAGACCAGGCUGGCCUCGAACUCAGAAAUCCACCUGCCUCUGCCUCCUGAGUGCUGAGAUUAAAGGCGUGUGCCUCCACGCCCAGCCAUAGACUCUUUCUUAAAAAGAGGCAGAUAUGGUGAUGCACACUUAAGAAUCACAACACCUGGGAGAGAGAAGUGGGGAAAUUCCCAUGAGUUUGAGACCCACCUAGUUGACAAGUUAACAAGUUCUAUACUGUAGUGAGAAUUCAUCUCAAAUAACUGAGAAAGAAAUUGAAAUUAAAGUGUUUGGGGGUGUUCACCAUAAAUCCCUGCAUUCAAAAAUCAAGGCAAAUAGAUCUCUUGAGUUCUAGGCCAGCCUGGGCUACAUAGUAAGAUUCCCCCAUCUCUUUUUAGAUUUUCAAGACAGGGUUUCUCUGUGUAACAGCCACUCUGUGGAUCAGGCCUGCCUCUCUGCCUCUGUGCUAGGAUUAAAGGGCCAGCUGAGACCUCAUCUCUUUCUUCUUAAUUAAGCAAAGGAUCAUAAGAGGGAAGGAAAGAGGCUUCUUAGCAAGUAAAAGCACAGGCAUGGUUCUUGUUCAGCAGAAAGUCUAUGGUGGCAUACAUCUAUAAUCCCAGGGCAUCUCAAAACCACAGCAACCAAAAAGCUGGGGAUGGGGAGGUAAAAAUAGGGCUGGUCUUGUAGCUGUUGGUAGAGCUCUUGCUUAUUAGCAUAUGUAAAACCAUUUGUUUAACCUCUAGAAUUGAAAAAUAGCUUUAAGUAGUUGUGUGAAACCUUUAUCUCUAGCUAUAGAAGAUGAGGGACUGGGGUGUGAUUAUUUAUUAAUAUUGUAGCAGGAUGGCCUUUGUUUUCUUAUCAGUUUAGUUCCGACCUAGAGAUAAUGGAAAUCUUUAUGCUCUUUGGGAAUAGAAACACGGCCUGAUGAGAGUGCCACCUGGUGGCUGGGAAUAUCUAUGAUGGAUUUUUGUUGUUGUUGUUGUUUUUUGGGUUUUUUUUUUUGUUGUUGUUGGUUUUGUUUUGAGACACUGCCAACAUGAGUUCUUGAGGGUAUAUGACUUCUCAGCAGGAGGAAUAAGCGAGCAUUGCAAAACACCAAGAUAAGUAGGCUUGAGAAAAUGGUGGAAAAUAACAACUAGAAUCCUUCAAGGAACACAGAAUAUCAGAACUUGGUGAACUGAAGACUCAACUUUUUCAGUCACAUUUUGUUUUCUUUAAGGAAGUAGUAGUUUGAGAUGGAGUUGAUAAUCAGUUUAUAUUUUCCUUUAUUUACCUGAUUAGGUAUUACAUCUGCUUAAAUAAUAGCAUAUUAAUCUUAUAUAAGUGGAAUGUGGGAUGUCUUACAACUGAAUGAAUCUCUUGUGGUUUUUUACAUUUUUUUUUAAAGAGUAUCCAAAUGUGUAUUCAUACAGACCUCAGACUAGUAGUUGGCCCUUAUACCUUACCCUCCAGAGUGCAGGAUUAUAUACAUGCAAGCUACACGUCCAUCAUCUUAAAUGUUUUAUCUUUGUUCAGGCCUUCCAGUCUUUCUAGUUUGUUUUAAUUUUCAGUACUUGUUUUUAAACUGAGAGCUUUGUGUAUGGGCAAACACUGAGCUACAACCCAGCCCAUGCUCAGAUUUUUUACUUUUUCCAUGUCCUUAGGAUAACUACCAUUCAGAUAGUGUACCUACUCAGACCAACAACACCUAGGAACUUGUGUUGUCCAUUGAUUGGGGAAGUUAACAGGGUCUUGCCCAUUCUUUUAUAAAAGUGAUUAAAAGAAAAUACAGUACUUUCUGUGUGUGAGAGUCUGUUUUGUAGUUUGUUUUGUGAUAAGGUCUCACUAUAUGUAGCCUUUGCUAGCCUUGAACUUGCAGCAGUUCUUCUGUUCCUACCACCCAAAUCCUGGGAUUUAAAGGCAUGCACCAUUACACUCAGCUGUUCGGUGUAUUUAUUUUAGGGGUUAAGAUAGGUGAAUCUUUUUCCCUUGUCAGCUUACCCUUCCAUUUGUCUAUCUUCUAUCCCUUACUUCCUUUUUUUAUGUGCUAGAAUCGAACCCAGGGCAUUGCAUAUCCUAGAAAAGUGUUCUGCAACUCGACUAUAGCCCUGACCCUCAUUUCAUUU
rnacentral:lncRNA from 1 species